UUCUGUACAUUUGUGUGUGUUUCUGUGUGUGUGCUGCCUUUCUCUCAGUCUUUUUCUUCUGCAGUUUGCAAUCUGCUCUUUUUUUUCCCACGAUGCUUUGCUUCCGCUCCACGUUGGCAGACCUGAAAUCUUCUAAAGCUUCAGAUAUAAAAAUGAACGAUGACCUGCUCCUCCGACGCCAGAACGGAUUUGCUUGAAGUCGGCCUCCUGCGAGAUUCUGGCAGCGUUCUUCACGCAGAAACAUCUGGAAAACGUGUUCUGGACUCGCCUCUCCUGCAGGAAGAUCCGUGCACGGACGCUCAGCUGCAGCCUCCAAACCAGACGGAUGGAAGGUGACGUCACAGCUUAACGACAGAAGAACUGGACCAGAACCGUCUCAGUCCGGGCUCCUGUCAUCGGACACGUCAGGUCGAUGGCAGAACAUCUGUCUGUUGAAUGAGGAGGUGAUGUUCUCCUCGUGUUAUUCAAUAGACCGCACCCAUUAACCGCGGCUCACACAGACCAGAACCAUGUUCCAGAACCAUGUUCCAGAACCAUGUUCCAGGACAGAAACGGACCUACUGAAUGAAUCGGCUCCAUCCUCUUCCAGCAGGAAAAGGUUCUCACGAGAACCUACCUGAUGCUUUUGCACCCUAGUGGUCAUUCCAGGAACUGCACAGAGUUGUUUUCAUGGUGGGUCAUUUCUCUUCGCUGAGGUCCACCUCGUGGUUCUGGCUGAUCCAGUUACAGCAGAAGAACUGGGACUGACCUGAGGCGAACAGAGGAUGAACCUCAGCUGGUGGAUCCGGAUUGGUUCUCAGAUGUUUCCUGAGGAGGAGGCCGAAGGUGAAAGCGAUUAUUCUGGGAUGGAUGGCGAAGCUCUCGGAGCAGCUGUCAGACCUCCAGACGUCUGUGAGCAAUCAGAGCGGCAGUGAUUGACGGGCCGGGUCGGGCUUGUCAGGAGGAAUUAGGUGUGCGGAUGGGAGCAGGAUUCAUGGCGGAGGCCGUUAACGUCAGCGGGAGUUUGGCAGCGGCCCUCUCCACGCCGCUGAUCGCUUCCAGGCCUCACAACUCGUAAACAAGAUCAACGCGGGCUGCGUGUCAGCGAGCCGCAGCGGCGGGAACGCUGACACACGGUUUCAGAACCGGAGACCGGGUCAGAGGGCCUACCAAGACCUGGACGGACAAACCCCUCCUACAAAAGCAACACUCUGUGUGUGUCUGCGGGCUGUUUUGUGUUGUUUUGGAGGCUUUGUGUUCUUCUCAACUCAAGUAGUUGUCCUGAGUUUGUGUUUAGUUUCAUUAAUUUGUGAGUUUCCUUUUCUCUGAGAUCCUUUUUGUGUUAAUAUUGUCUAUUAGUUCUGGUUUUGUGUGUCUGCAGCAGCUGUUUCUGCUUCUGUCAGAGACGACCUUAACCGCCCCGCUAGGCGCUGUGAUGCUCUGUGUGUGUGUUUGUGUUGGUAAAUGUGUUUUUUUGUUGUUGUUUGUACUUCUUUUUUGUAAAUUCCAUGAACCAGCUGUUGGAGGGUCACAGCCAACCUUGAGCAUGCUCAGUGUGGAUCUGUUAGUGUCUCCGUGUUUUUGUGUAGUUCCAGAUGGACGGAACGAUGAUUUAUGAAACUUCUUUUGACCUCCAGUUCUCUCAGAGCGGUUUGCUGUUGGGACCAGGUAACCUCCAUGCUUGAGGUGACGGUUCAGAAAAGGUUCCAGGUCUGGACCGAGUCAGAAGUUGAAGUACCUGGACGUUCACAGGUGAAGGUUUGAUGUAGCGUGAGGUGUGAUGGAUGUGUGCGUCUGCUGUCAUGGUUAUGUGGUUCCGUUUGCUGUGGUGGACAAACAUCCGAGUCUGAAGAGAAGAUCUCGAUGUACCAGCAGGCCUAUGUUCCCACAUCAAGUUGUUUUUGUACACAUUCCUUCUCGUCUCGUUCCGACCUUCACCCUGACCACGACCUGUCCGUCAUUGAUGAACGGUCAAAUGCUGCACAUGGAGGCAGAAACGUUCUUCCUGCGGGCCGCUGCACGGCCAAAGCUGCAUCUUAAGUCCAUUUCAUUUAAGACCAAAUCAUCAGUUUUUGGUUUUAUGGCACCAACGAGUGAACUUCUCCUUUUAAAAUGUCUCAGCUGUAAAAAAAAAAAAAA